rnacentral:tRNA from 1 species
AGUUCCUUAGCUUAUAAAAAGCAUAUAUUUUUAAAAUAUAAGAAAGAUUUAAAUUUAGUAACUU